ACUACGGGUGGCAGCAGUGGGGAAUAUUGGACAAUGGGGGGAACCCUGAUCCAGCGACGCCGCGUGAGUGAAGAAGUAUUUCGGUAUGUAAAGCUCUAUCAGCAGGGACGAAAGAAACGACGGUACCUGACUAAGAAGCCCCUGCUAACUACGUGCCAGCAGCCGAGGUAAUACGGAGGGGGCAAGCGUGAUCCGGAUUUACUGGGUGUAAAGGGAGCGUAGACGGCGAUGCAAGUCUGAAGUGAAACGCGGGGGCCCAACCCCCGGACUGCUUUGGAAACUGGAUGGCUGGAGUACAGGAGAGGUAAGUGGAAUUCCUAGUGUAGCGGUGAAAUGCGUAGAUAUUAGGAGGAACACCAGUGGCGAAGGCGGCUUACUGGACUGUAACUGACGUUGAGGCUCGAAAGCGUGGGGAGCAAACAGGAUUAGAUACCCUAGUAGUC
rnacentral:rRNA from 1 species